AGUAACCUGAAAUGAACGAUAAUUCUUGUUAUUUUGAACCUACAGUUACUUUAAACGGGAUUCCUAUAUUUCCAUGUGGAUGUCAGGCCUCCGAUUCUUUGAAUCUUGUGCAGUGGAAGGCAGAAAUAUGGUUGCGGUUACCCACCUAGCUAUAGCUAGGAGUCAAAAUACAAGAUCCGUCAUUUUGGGGAUAUA
rnacentral:other from 1 species